UUUAUCCAGUAGUGCACGAUCAACGAUACAAAGCAGAUAUCAUUAUAGCCACGUCGAGCGAAGAUUAUCAAAUACUUUAAAUUCUGGUAACAAUACUGCAACAUCAAGCAGUAAUAAUCAGCAGCCUUCUAUACUUGGAACUCACGAUGAGAAUUAUGAUCCAAAUUUUAAUUCUUCCAAUUUAUUUGAAGAAGAGUGUCAUUCAAUGCUUUCAACAAAUGAAUUAUCAAAUACUUCAGGCAAUGUUUUAAGUUCUGAUAACGAUACUGCAACAUAAAGCAGUAAUAAUCAGCAGCUUUCUAUACUUGGAAUUUACGAUGAGAUUUCGUAUUCUAAUUUUGAUUCUUACAAUUUAUGUGAAAAAGUGUGUCAUUCAAUGCUUUCAACUAAUGAAUUAUCAAAUACUUCAGGCAAUCUUUUAAGUUCUGGUAACGAUACUGCCACAUCAAGCAGCUUUUAUCAGUCAAUCGUCAGUACUGACCUUACUGAUUCUGAGGAAUUUGUCGAUUUGUGUGAUAAUGAAAGAGAAAUGUAAAAGUUUAUGGAGUGUGAUAAAGAAGAAAGUUAUUCAUUUAUUCCGUUUGAUAAAUAUUAAUGAUUUAUACUCUUUUCUCGGUGUAAUAUAAAGCGAU